rnacentral:rRNA from 1 species
CCAAUAGCGUAUAUUAAAGUUGUUGCAGUUAAAAAGCUCGUAGUUGAAUUUCGGGACCAAUUUGUCAGUCGUGCCUCAGUACGUACUGGCAUCAUUGGUUUCUACCUUCUGACGAACCAUGAUGUCAUUUAUUUGGUGUCAUGGGGAAUCAGGACUGUUACUUUGAAAAAAUUAGAGUGUUUAAAGCAGGCGCACGCUUGAAUACAUUAGCAUGGAAUAAUGAAAUAGGACGUUUGAUUCUAUUUUGUUAGUUUCUAGAAUUGACGUAAUGAUUAAUAGGGAUAGUUGGGGGCAUUAGUAUUCAAUUGUCAGAGGUGAAAUUCUUGGAUUUAUUGAAGACUAACUACUGCAAAAGCAUUUGCCAAGGAUGUAUUCAUUAAUCAAGAACGAAAGUUAGGGGAUCAAAGACGAUCAGAUACCGUUGUAGUCUUAACCAUAAACUAUGCCGACUAGGGAUCAGAUGAUGUUAAUUUUUUAAUGACUCAUUUGGCGCCUUACG